AUUGAAAGCUGGCGGCAUGCCUUACACAUGCAAGUCGAAUGGUAACAGGUCUUCGGAUGCUGACGAGUGGCGAACGGGUGAGUAAUACAUCGGAACGUGCCUAGUAGUGGGGGAUAACUACUCGAAAGAGUGGCUAAUACCGCAUGAGAUCUACGGAUGAAAGCAGGGGAUCGCAAGACCUUGUGCUACUAGAGCGGCCGAUGGCAGAUUAGGUAGUUGGUGGGAUAAAAGCUUACCAAGCCGACGAUCUGUAGCUGGUCUGAGAGGACGAUCAGCCACACUGGGACUGAGACACGGCCCAGACUCCUACGGGAGGCAGCAGUGGGGAAUUUUGGACAAUGGGCGCAAGCCUGAUCCAGCAAUGCCGCGUGCAGGAUGAAGGCCUUCGGGUUGUAAACUGCUUUUGUACGGAACGAAAAGCCCUGGGUUAAUACCCUGGGGUCAUGACGGUACCGUAAGAAUAAGCACCGGCUAACUACGUGCCAGCCGCCGCAGUAAGAC
rnacentral:rRNA from 1 species